GUAUUGAAACACCGGUUCUCCUACGAUCACCGAAGUUAAACAACGUCGAGCCUGCUCAAUUUUUAGAUGGGUGACCGUUUGUGAAUACCAGAUACUGUAAG